rnacentral:rRNA from 1 species
CCUACGGGAGGCAGCAGUGGGGGAUAUUGCACAAUGGGGGGAACCCUGAUGCAGCGACGCCGCGUGGGUGAAGGAGCGUUUCGGCGCGUAAAGCCCUAUCGGCAGGGAAGAAGGAGGACGGUAUCUGACUAAGAAGCCCCGGCUAACUACGUGCCAGCAGCCGCGGUACUACGUAGGGGGCACGCGUUUACCGGAUUUACGGGGGGUAAAGGGGGCGCAGAGGGGAGCGCAAGCCAGGAGUGAAAGCCCGGGGGCCAACCCCGGGACUGCUGUUGGAACUGGGCGGCGGGAGUGCAGGAGGGGCAGGCGGAAGUCCUGGUGUAGCGGUGAAAUGCGUAGAUAUCGGGAGGAACACCGGUGGCGAAGGCGGCCUGCUGGGCGGCGACUGACGUUGAGGCCCGAAAGCGUGGGGAGCAAACAGGAUUAGAUACCCGGGUAGUC